rnacentral:rRNA from 1 species
UACAGAGGUCUCAAGCGUUUGUUCGGAUUCAUUGGGCGUAAAGGGUGCGUAGGCGGCGCGGUAAGUCGGGUGUGAAAUCUCGGAGCUUAACUCCGAAACUGCAUUCGAUACUGCCGGUGCUUGAGGACUGGAGAGGAGACUGGAAUUUACGGUGUAGCGGUGAAAUGCGUAGAUAUCGUAAGGAAGACCAGUGGCGAAGGCGGGUCUCUGGACAGUUCCUGACGCUGAGGCACGAAGGUCAGGGGAGCAAACGGG